UACUAGCGGUCCAAGUCGCAGCCAUAUUUAUUGGGUCUAAAACAUCCGUAGCUUGCUUGAUAAGUUCCCUGUGAAAUCUUAUCUCUCAAAGAUAAGGCGAGCAGGAAGUACUGUCAAGCUAGAGACUGGGAGACGUGAGAAGUACGGCCAAAGUAACAGUAAAAUGUGUUAAUCUUGGUCGGACUCACAAUAGCGAAGGCAUCUCACGAGAACAGUUCUGACAGUCAGGGAUGAAGGCUAGGGGCGCAAAACGGAUUAGAUACCCCAGUA
rnacentral:rRNA from 1 species